rnacentral:rRNA from 1 species
GACGAACGCUGGCGGCGUGCUUAACACAUGCAAGUCGAACGGAAAGGCCCUGCUUUUGUGGGGUGCUCGAGUGGCGAACGGGUGAGUAACACGUGAGUAACCUGCCCUUGACUUUGGGAUAACUUCAUGAAACUGGGUCUAAUACCGGAUAGGAGCUCCUGCUUCAUGGUGGGGGUUGGAAAGUUUCGGCGGUUGGGGAUGGACUCGCGGCUUAUCAGCUUGUUGGUGGGGUAGUGGCUUACCAAGGCUUUGACGGGUAGCCGGCCUGAGAGGGUGACCGGACACAUUGGGACUGAGAUACGGCCCAGACUACUACGGGAGGCAGCAGUGGGGAAUAGUGCACAAUGGGCGGAAGCCUGAUGCAGCAACGCCGCGUGCGGGAUGACGGCAUUCGGGUUGUAAACCGAUUUCGCCUGUGACGAAGCGUGAGUGACGGUAAUGGGUAAAGAAGCACCGGCUAACUACGUG